rnacentral:tmRNA from 2 species
GGGGGUGGAUGGCGUCGACCGUCUGCGAAAACCGCAUGCGGACCAGGCGGGACAGGAGUUCGAAUCUCCUCACCUCCACCA